UUCAUGACAAGAAUUUUAUUUUCUUUUUUUAAUUACAUUUUGCAUUAAAUUAAAGAGUUUUUUCUUUACAACAUACAUUAAGCUGUGAAUCAGAUGUUAAGGAAGUGGAGAGAGUAGGGCAAAAAACUUUGUGACGUCACAAUAUCUUACAAGCUUACAAAGUUCAAAAGUUUGAGAAGAGAGUCGAUUUGCAUCUAAUAGCAGUGUAUUAUAACAAGGGUGAAAGACAAAAAAGGCACACACCAAAGAACCUCACUGUCCACAGCAGCCUUCACAGUCAAACCUAAUCCAGUCUGCAAAAUGUUCAAACCCUCCUCAGAUAUCAGGACGCUUGACGUUGCUGAAUCUUAAAUGCACCCGCAGCUAAACUAACUCAUCUAUGCAGGAUGUGGACAUUUAACCUUCUGACCUCGACAGGUUUUCUUGUUCACAUUCUGCACAGAAAUGACAGUUCUCCCAGACGAGAGCAAACACAACUGAACAAGAAAUGUUUAGUCCAGCAAUCAAUGCACUGGAGAGUGUAAACGGGGCCUAUAUUUGUGUCCAGUCACCAGUUUACAACACAGUGGUUGUAACACACACCUUCAAGCUAAUCUUGGGUCUUGUGCACUUUGAAGAUGAAAGCUUUAAUUAAUUACUGGGAUAAUGGCUUUAACUGACCCUAGGCCAUGUUUCUGAUGGGAAACCUUCCUCCCGGCUAAACCGAACCCUGCGUCUACUGUAUGUACAACAUGGUAGUCAGGUCACAGAUCCUCCACGUUCCUUCUUAAUUUAGCUGUGGAUUGAGACAUAGUUGGCUUUCCUCCAUUGAGAAACUGAAAAAAAUUGCUUGAUAUCAAGAAAACUGUUCACCUAUCUACACAUACAACACUAAGGGAGUGCUCCACUGAUUUAAGUGUUUAGGUGAGGGGGUGGGGUGGUCAAUAAAAAUCCUCAAGUAAAAAGGAAGUGAAAGCAAAAAAAAAAGGUCUGAUUAGUCAAACUCUCAGCCAUUCAUAAGGCCUUUAUAAUGAGAGUUAGUGAAAAUAGAAACUAAACUUCCUCAAACUGUUUUCUCUUACAUAAAAAAGGGGGUUAAAUCAUUUUUAAUAUUGUCGUUUUACAACUUUCUUCACAGGAACCAGCCUGUUUAACUGCCUAACAAAUGAAUGUUACGAUGCACUCAAGAAGCCUAGAGUUGUGUUAGUACACCAGGUGCUUAUGUGUAUCCAUAUACUGUACGUUUGCUGCGCUGUUGUCGUUGUAGAAUUAUUGCAGUGCACCAGAGAGAUACACAUACGUUGGCCUUCUCAAGUAACAAAUGUUAAUUGUUCAGUUUAUCAGUCAAUUAAC
ensembl:lncRNA